UUUAUGGAAAAUGAGUUUAAAUGGUUAAUUUUUAGGUUUUAUAAACAAAAUGUGUUUAAAUGAAAUGAUUUUAUAAAUUGUCUUGAAAUUGAAUGAUGGCUUUGAAAAUAGAGUAAUUGGAGACCAUUUGAUGUAUUGUGAAUUUAUGGUUCUAAUUGAUUGGCUUAUGGCAAUAUUGGCAUGAAUGGNGGCUUAUGGCAACAUUGGCAUGAAUGGCUGAAUUGGUAUUUGUGUUGAAAAUGCAUAACUGUUGUUUGCCUUGAUAGGCUGGAUUGUGAUAAUAUUGCCAUGUCAUGAUAUUGAAUUUUUAUUGUAUGGUGGGUUAUAAUUAGUCGCUGUAGUGGACGAGUUUCGUGGACCAGCCUAUUAGAGGGGGCAUGGUAACCCUAAUAUAUUCAUACCUCAGUAUGAGAGGCACAGAUGGAUAACUCCUGAGGUUAACACUUUAGAGUUCACUUCACGCCAAACCACCACGUGAGGGUGAAUUCAGCCAACGCCAAGGAACGGCUAUGUUUUCAAAAAAAAAACAUGAUUUAUGCGUUCAUAACUUUUUAAUAGCCUUGGCGGACUCAGUUGGGAUAGCCCUCGGCCAAGGUAUCCCUGAUAAGUGAGUAUGAGAAUGGUUUUGGCACAAGCCAAAGUUUUAAGAAAUUCAUAAGCCAUGUUGAUUACUCUAUUUAUAUGAAUUGAUUUUAUUUGGUUAAAAUGAGUCGAAAGGUGAUAAAUUACAAUAUGAUGAUCUAUUUUAAUCUGUCUCCAUUUACUCAGCUUUAGAUAUUUUAGAUGGUAUUUGUUUACUCACUGAGAUUAUAUAAUCUCACCACCCUCCUUUCUACCCAUUUCAAGCUCAGGAUAGUCGGUGGAUAGCUCAUUUCGUUGAGGGCUACAGUUGGACUUGCAUCCUCAAAAACUGUAGGUUCAUAGCCUUCAUUACUUUUGGUCGUUCAUAGGGCUAUGUGUCACUGUAAAUUAAAUUUUAUACUUUGGUUAUCUGUAUUACAGUAUGUAUGAAUUUAUUUAACUUUUAUGCUACAAAAAUUAUUUAUCGGUAACUUUAUAAAUAUUAUUUUAUAAGAAAAUAGAAUAUUUUAU
rnacentral:lncRNA from 1 species